rnacentral:rRNA from 1 species
CUCAUGGUUUCACGGUAUUGCAAUGAGAACAAUUUAAAACCCUUAGCGAGAAUCAAGUGGAGGACAAGUCCGGUGCCAGCACCCGCGGUAAUUCCAGCUCCACUAGCGUAUAUUAAAGUUGUUGCAGUUAAAAAGCUCGUAGUUGAACCUCUGUCUGGGGCUAGUUUUGGCUUUGGUCAGGCUAGUUCUAGGCAUCCGCCUACAAGACUUAGAGGGCAUUCAGUUGUUCACUAGGAGGAGUAGGCAUUUUACUUUGAAAAAAUUAGAGUGCUUAAGGCAGGCAAUCGCCCGCAUAUAUUAGCAUGGAAUAAUAGAAUAGGACACUUUUCCAUUUCGUUGGUUAUUGGAAUCGUGUAAUGAUUAAUAGGGACAGUUGUGGGCAUUUGUAUUUAAUUGUCAGAGGUGAAAUUCUUGGAUUUAUUAAAGACAAACUAACGCGAAAGCAUUUGCCAAGGAUGUUUUCAUUAAUCAAGAACGAUAGUUAGGGGAUCAAAGACGAUCAGAUACCGUCCUAGUCUUAACUAUAAACUAUUCCGACUCAAUGUUUGACUGGCUUAUAUAACCAGUUGAGCGUUGUAUGAGAAAUCAAAGUCUUUAGGUUCUGGGGGGAGUAUGGUUGCAAAGCUGAAACUUAAAGGAAUUGACGGAAGAGCACAACCAGGAGUGGAUUCUGCGGCUUAAUUUGACUCAACACGGGGAAACUUACCAGGUUAAAACAAUAGUGGGAUUGACAGUUUGAGAGCGCUUUCUUGAUUGGUUGGGUGGUGGUGCAUGGCCGUUCUUAGUUGGUGGAGUGAUUUGUCUGCUUAAUUGCGUUAACGAACGAGACCUUAACCUGCUUACUAGACUGGCGAUCAUCAAUCGUUAGCUCUUCUUAGAGGGACUUUGGUUGUUUUAACUCCAAGGAAGUUUGAGGCAAUAACAGGUCUGUGAUGCCCUUAGAUAUCCUGGGCCGCACGCGUCAUACAAUGACUAGUUCAGAAAGUUUUCUCCUGACCCGAAAGGGGAUGGGUAAUCUUGAUAAUACUAGUCGUGUUAGGGAUCGAUCUUUGCAAUUAUAGAUCUUGAACGAGGAAUUCCUAGUAAGUGCGGUUCAUCAGACCGUACUGAUUACGUCCCUGCUCUUUGUACACACCGCCCGUCGCUUCUACCGAGUGGGUGGUCCGGUGAGAUAAUUGAACUUCGCAGGUAACUGAGAGGAAAGAUUAUCAAACCUAUCCACCU